rnacentral:misc_RNA from 1 species
GAAUCGCGAUAGGAAGUGCGAAUUGCAGAAUUCAGUGAAUCAUCGUAACUUUGAACGCAAACGGCGCUUCGGGGUUAACCCGGAGCAUGCCUCUUUGAGUGUCGGUCAAACCUUCUUUUUCUUUUUCAGAAAAAGGUUAUGAGAGUCUGAGGUCUCUUUUAAAUUGCAGUGCCUAAUUGGCGUGGAUGGCGUCGUGGAAUCGAAUGGAGCUGAGGUUGCAUGCGAAUCUACUGUGUCUAAGCGUCAAUGCGAUAAAUGCUUCUAGCAUACAUUCCUGACCAUCGACCUCAAAUGAGGUAAGAUUACCCGCUGAACUUAA